GUUGCUUCCGUUGCGUCCGUAGUCUAUUUAGGCUUCGCCGGUGUAACACUCAGUGGUUCAGCCGUGGCAUUAGCCGUAUCCACCCCUCUUUUCAUCAUAUUCAGUCCGAUUCUCUUACCUGCUAUUGCAGCCACUACUGUCCUAGCCGCCGGGCUCGGAGGUAAAAAAGUGGCGGCGGCUCCGGAAGCUUCUCCGGCAGCUUCGCCAUCCCUAUCUCUGUUGGGCAUACCGGAGAGCAUUAAACCAAGUAAUAUUAUACCGGAGAGUAUUAAACCAAGUAAUAUUAUACCGGAGGGUAUUAAACCAAGUAAUAUUAAGGACAAAAUUAAGGAUACGAUAGGCAAAGUUAAGAAUAAGAUCAAAGCUAAAAAGGAAGAAAAAUCCAAAGGUAAAAGUGAAGAUUCUUCCAAGGGUAAAGGUAAAUCAAAGGGUGAAGAUACGACUACGGAUGACGAUACGACUACGGAUGAAGACAAACACGGAAGUGGAGCUAAACACGGAAAGGGAGAGAGUAAACACGGAAAAGGUGAGAGUACACACGGAAAGGGAGGUAAACAUGGAAGUGAAGGUAAGCAUGGAAGUGGAGGUUCGUCUAUGGGUGGAGGUAAACACGGAAGCGGAGGUAAACAUGAAACUGGAGGUAAACACGGAAGCGGAGGUAAACAUGAAAGUGGAGGUUCGCCUAUGGGUGGAGGUAAACAUGGAAGUGAAGGUAAGCAUGGAAGUGGAGGUGCGUCUAUGGGUGGAGGUAAACACGGAAGCGGAGGUAAACAUGAAAGUGGAGGUUCGGCUAUGGGUGGAGGUAAGCACGGAAGUGGAGGCAAACACGGAAGUGAAGGUAAACACGGGGGUGAAGGCUCUUCUAUGGGUAAAAAUAGUCUAUCCAAGAAGAAAAAGGAAUUCCAUUAUAGAGGUCAAGCUAUGGAUGCAAGUAGUACAAGUGAAAGUUCAGAUGGAAGUUCAGAUGGCAGCAGUUCAGAUGGAAGUUCACAUGGGAGUGGUGGUAAACACAUAUGAGUAAAAGUAAAUUCAUGGAAGAAUAAAAGACAUUGGUGGACCUAUUCCAAUGUUUAGCAUAUGAUGUCUAUUAUAGUUAUGAAUUGUAUGGCAUUAUAAGAAAAAAAAAACACUUUUAAAAACUUUUAUGUUUAUACAUGUAAUGGUUAAAACUGAUUAUAUGAUAAGACAAAAAGACUAUUAUGAUACAUUGUAUAGUUAAGAUAUAAAAAUAGUAUAAUGUGGUAACAGUUAUUUCAAUUCCUAGGACCCGGUUUAAUUUUUUUUAUUCACACUGAACUUUACGUCUUGUGCUAUAGUUUGAAUCAGGCCCGACCCAUCAUAUAUGGUGCUUAGAUCAAAAACAUUUAUGUACCCUUAACAUGGUUAGAACCGGGCACGUAUUGGACAAUUGAAACAUAAUUAACAACGACACCAUAAUUAAUAUUGAAAAUUAAUGUCCUCUAAAACAAAACUAGAGCUACUAUAUAUUUAGAAUUUCAACAUAUAAAACCAUGAUGGGAAUGACUGAUGAUGGUUCUCUAACCCUCGACUGGUUUGGUGAAACUUUAGCAACAUGAACCCGAGCCGUGCUUGUUAAAGAAAAUUUAAAGCAUUGGCUUAGGGUAUCAUUUUAUGCAAAAUUUAUAUAUAGAGCAUAUUUUAGAACUUUUAUUUUUAACAUCAUAUUCAUCUUAGGUUAAAUUUGUCUAUCUAACAAAAUAUUAAAUACCACACAUGCUAAUCAUGAGUAGCCGAUAUACGGACCCAAUACAAAAUACACACAUAUAUAGCUAAGAUAUAUAUGAGUUUUACAAUGAAACAUGCAUUUAUAUAUAAUACUCCCUCUAUUUUAAUUUAUUUGAUGUUUAAUUAUUAUUUUUUUGUAAAAUAAGUGAUGUUCUUAUUAAUCUAGAUAAAAAUUUAAUGUUGUUUGAGAUUUGUGACCAAUUACAUAAUUGAUAAUACUACAUUUUUUAUUGGGUAAUUUAGUUCUAUCUUUUGUGUAAUUAAGAUAAAUUGUAUGGAACUUUACAAGUUCUUAAUCUUUGUGCAUUAAUCUUAAACACCUAUUAAAUUAAAUAAAGGGAACACAUAAUUUGCUAUGAAAAUAAUAUGUUUGUUUGAAAAUGAAUAACCGAUCAAUUGUUUUUCAUUCUAUUUAUUAUGUAUUGGAAUAUGCCUAUACUCAAAUUUGUUAUCGAUUCUUUCUUUUUUUUUAUAUAUAUAUAUAAAAACCAGAUUUCAGUUAUUUUUGAAGUUCUUUCCAAAAUACAUAUUUUAGUAAGAUAUAUGUUUGAAGUUUGUUGAUAAAAAAAAAGAGAGUAAGAUAUAUGUUUAUUGAGUAUUCAGUGAUUUCCACAAAGUCUAUGGUCUAUUCUUUUCAAAAAAAGAGUUUGGGAUCUAAUCUAAAAAUAAACUCUAUUGGGUAUUCCACCUUAUAAUAAUAAUAAUAAUAAUAAUAAUAAUAAUAAGGGCAAUUGUCAAUAAUAGCACCUUUUGAAGUUUAUGUCUCGAAAAUAGCACUAGAAGGAGAAAGUCACAAAAAUAACAUUCAUUAAAGGGUAAAAUAUCCCUAAUACUCUUGGUUUAAAAUUAAAUAAACAAACAAAAAUAAAUAAAAAUAAAUAAAAUAAAAAUUAAAAAAAUGAAAAAAAGAUUUUUUUUUUUUUUAUAGUUUCAGAUUAUAUGUUUUCAGAUUCGAAAUUUUUAUAAUUUUUUUUUUCGAAUUUUUUUUUUUUAUUUUUUUUUCAAAUUUUCUUUUUCAAAUUUUCUUUUUAUAAUUUAAAAAUACUUUUUAAAACUGUUUUUAAAAUUUUAUUUUUUAUUUUAUAUUUUUUUUUUAUAAAAUGGGUGGAGGUAAACACGGAAGCGGAGGUAAACAUGAAAGUGGAGGUGCGUCUAUGGGUGGAGGUAAACACGGAAGCGGAGGUAGACAUGAAGGUGGAGGUUCGGCUAUGGGUGGAGGUAAGCACGGAAGUGGAGGCAAACACGGAAGUGAAGGUAAACACGGGGGUGAGGGCUCUUCUAUGGGUAAAAAUAGUCUAUCCAAGAAUAAAAAAGAAUUCCAUUAUAGAGGUCAAGCUAUGGAUGCAAGUAGUACAAGUGAAAGUUCAGAUGGCAGCAGUUCAGAUGGCAGCAGUUCAGAUGGCAGCAGUUCAGAUGGAAGUUCACAUGGGAGUGGUGGUAAACACAUAUGAGUAAAAGUAAAUUCAUGGAAGAAUAAAAGACAUUGGUGGACCUAUUCCAAUGUUUAGCAUAUGAUGUCUAUUAUAGUUAUGAAUUGUAUGGCAUUAUAAGAAAAAAAAAACUUUAAAAAACUUUUAUGUUUAUAAUAUGCAUGUAAUGGUUAAAACUGAUUAUAUGAUAAGACAAAAAGACUAUUAUGAUACAAUGUAUAGUGAAGAUAUAAAAAUAGUAUAAUGUGGUAACAGUUAUUUCAAUUCUUCUUGAAAGGACCCGGUUUAAUUUUUUUUUCACACUGAACUUUCAUUGAUAAAACAUCAAGGUCUAAUACAAAGGUGGGAUACAAUCAAAGGAUACAAAGCCGGCAGAUAUCCAAUCUAGGGAGAUAAAGCCCCAACAAGAGGAGUCAUAUGGAUGAUAAUCGUUUACGUCUUGUGCUAUAGUUUGAAUCAGGCCCCACCCAUCAUAUAUGGUGCUUAGAUCAAAAAUAUUUAUGUACCCUUAACAUAGUUAGAACCGGGCACGUAUUGAACAAUUGAAACAUAAUUAACAACGACACCAUAAUUAAUAUUGAAAAUUAAUGUCCUCUAAAUUAAUACGUUUUGGCGUCUAAAACAUCAAAAUUCAUGGGUUUUAGCCAAGAACUAGCCCUGGUUGGAAGGUACAAAUAACGAAUUCGGAGAUUGUAAGAACAUUAUCGUCUAAUCAAAUUAUUCUAGUUUGAAUUUGAUAAGAUAACACUCUUAAAACAAAACUAGAGCUACUAUAUAUUUAGGAUUUCAACAUAUAAAACCAUGAUGGGAAUGACUGAUGAUGGUUCUCUAACCCUCGACUGGUUUGGUGAAACUUUAGCAACAUGAACCCGAGCCGUGCUUGUUUAAGAAAAUUUAAAGCAUUGGCUUUAGGGGAUCAUUUUACGCAAAUUUAUAUAUAGAGCAUAUUUUAGAACUUUUAUUUUUAACAUCACAUUCAUCUUAGGUUAAAUUUGUCUCGUGUAUCUAACACAAUAUUAAAUAUCACACAUACUAAUCAUGAGUGGCCGAUAUACGGACCCAAUACAAAAUACACACAUAUAUAGCUAAGAUAUAUAUGAGUUUUACAAUGAAACAUGCAUUUAUAUAUAAUACUCCCUCUAUUUUAAUUUAUUUGAUGUUUAAUGAUUUUUUUUUGUAAAAUAAGUGAUGUUCUUAUUAAUCUAGAUAAAAAUUUAAUGUUGUUUGAGAUUUGUGACCAAUUACAUAAUUGAUAAUACUACAUUUUUUAUUGGGUAAUUUAGUUCUAUCUUUUGUGUAAUUAAGAUAAAUUGUAUGGAACUUUACAAGUUCUUAAUCUAUGUGCAUUAAUCUUAAACACCUAUUAAAAUUAAACAAAGGGAACACAUAAUUUGCUAUGAAAAUAAUAUGUUUGUUUGGAAAUGAAUAACCGAUCAAUUUUUUGUUUGCAUUCUAUUUAUUAUGUAUUGGAAUAUGUCUAUACUCAAUUUUUUGAGGUUCUUUCCAAAAUACAUAUUUUAGUAAGAUAUAUGUUUGAAGUUUGUUGAUCAAAAAUAAGAGAGUAAGAUAUAUGUUUAUUGAGUAUUCAAUGAUUUCCACAAAGUUUAUGGUCUAUUUUAUUCAAAAAAAAAGUUUGGGAUCUAAUCUAAAAUAAAUUCUAUUGGGUAUACCACCUUAUAAUAAUAAUAAUAACAAUAAUAAUAAUAAAUUUAUAUUUUGGUCAAAAAUAAUUUAAUUAUAUAAUUAGAUAUUAGUUUAGAGAUGAGGUGAGUCGUUACCAUAACUUUUCAUAAGUUUCUAAAGAUUGUUUAAAAAGUUGAUUUUUAUUCUUUCUCAUUUUCUUUAAUAGUUAGAGAUUCUUUAAGAACAUUUUUAAUUGUAAAUCUCAAAAUGUCAGUUUGUCGUGUUUGAGCUCGUACCAGAAACAAAUGAAGGCUCAAAAAACAUGACGACUACUACACACAUUGAAUGGAAUAUGACGUGACGUUAUGUAACGUAGAUCUCUAUUUGCACCCACUGUUUUGCAUGUACAGCUUCAUAUAUAAAAUCUAUCUCUUCCCACCUCUACCAAUGAACAACCAUCCAAUCUGAGAAUAUGAGCGAAGAACUCGUUCAACACGAAUCUCAUUCUCAGGCAUCGAUAUUUAGCCGUUUUUUCAGAAUGUUCUCUUUUAUCUUCCCAUUGCUGAACGUUAUAAAGCUUAUUAUAGCUUCCGUGACCUCCUUAGUCUGCUUAGCGUUUU
rnacentral:lncRNA from 1 species